AGAGUUUGAUCCUGGCUCAGGAUGAACGCUGGCGGCGUGCCUAAUACAUGCAAGUCGAGCGAACAGAUAAGGAGCUUGCUCCUUUGACGUUAGCGGCGGACGGGUGAGUAACACGUGGAUAACCUACCUAUAAGACUGGGAUAACUUCGGGAAACCGGAGCUAAUACCGGAUAACAUAUUGAACCGCAUGGUUCAAUAGUGAAAGGCGGCUUUGCUGUCACUUAUAGAUGGAUCCGCGCCGUAUUAGCUAGUUGGUAAGGUAACGGCUUACCAAGGCAACGAUACGUAGCCGACCUGAGAGGGUGAUCGGCCACACUGGAACUGAGACACGGUCCA
rnacentral:rRNA from 1 species